AACCACUUCGGUGGUCAUCCGUAAAAAUUGGAACGAUACAGAGAAGAUUAGCAUGGCCCCUGCGCAAGGAUGACACGCAUAAAUCGAGAAGUAUUGCACUUUUUG
rnacentral:snRNA from 1 species